rnacentral:snRNA from 1 species
AUCGCUUCUCGGCCUUUUGGCUAAGAUCAAGUGUAGUAUCUGUUCUUAUCAGUUUAAUAUCUGAUAUGUUCUCUAUUUGAGAACAUCAUGUUAAGUUGGUUUUUGGAACAGAGAGUUGGAAAAGGAGCUUGCUCCAUCCAUUCCACGCAUCAGCUUGGUAUUGCAGUAUUUCCAAGAAUGGUGCAUUCCCC